GAUGAACGCUGACAGAAUGCUUAACACAUGCAAGUCAACUUGAAUUUGGGUUUUUAACUUAGGUUUGGGUGGCGGACGGGUGAGUAACGCGUAAAGAACUUGCCUCACAGCUAGGGACAACAUUUGGAAACGAAUGCUAAUACCUAAUAUUAUGAUAAUAGGGCAUCCUAUAAUUAUGAAAGCUAUAAGCGCUGUGAGAGAGCUUUGCGUCCCAUUAGCUAGUUGGAGAGGUAACGGCUCACCAAGGCGAUGAUGGGUAGCCGGCCUGAGAGGGUGAUCGGCCACAGGGGGACUGAGACACGGCCCUUACUCCUACGGGAGGCAGCAGUGGGGAAUAUUGGACAAUGGACCGAGAGUCUGAUCCAGCAAUUCUGUGUGCACGAUGAAGUUUUUCGGAAUGUAAAGUGCUUUCAGUUGGGAAGAAACAAAUGACGGUACCAACAGAAGAAGUGACGGCUAAAUACGUG
rnacentral:rRNA from 1 species